rnacentral:rRNA from 1 species
UACGGAGGGGACUAGCGUUGUUCGGAAUUACUGGGCGUAAAGCGCUCGUAGGCGGAUUUGUAAGUCGGGGGUGAAAUCCCGGGGCUCAACCUCGGAACUGCCUUCGAUACUGCAAAUCUCGAGUCCGGAAGAGGUGAGUGGAAUUCCUAGUGUAGAGGUGAAAUUCGUAGAUAUUAGGAAGAACACCGGUGGCGAAGGCGGCCCACUGGUCCGGUACUGACGCUGAGGUGCGAAAGCGUGGGGAGCAAACAGG